UACAGAGGUCUCAAGCGUUGUUCGGAUUCAUUGGGCGUAAAGGGUGCGUAGGCGGCGCGGUAAGUCGGGUGUGAAAUCUCGGAGCUUAACUCCGAAACUGCAUUCGAUACUGCCGUGCUUGAGGGCUUCAGAGGGACACGGAAUUCCGGAUGGAGUGGUGAAAUGCGUAGAUAUCCGGAGGAACACCAAUGGCGAAGGCAGUGUCCUGGGAAGUACCUGACGCUCAGGUGCGAAAGCUAGGGGAGCGAACAGG
rnacentral:rRNA from 1 species